AGAAAGAAGGAAGGCCCUUAGACUUGGAACAGUUUCGGCCAGCUCUUAAAAGACAGCUGGAACUAAUAGAAGAAGGA
rnacentral:lncRNA from 1 species